rnacentral:lncRNA from 1 species
CCUCAUAGAACUGAUGAAUGUUUUCAGGUGUUCCAGUUGUACUAAUAGCAAGGCGUGGUUUUCUAUGCAGAGUAAGAGUGCUGUGGUUCUAAAUGUUGCUGCUGGUGUGACUUCACUUGUCACAGCGAUGGUCUUCUUCCUGGAUGCGUCUCAAGCAUUUACCAACAGCAACCCUGGGCAGUCAGACCUGGACAUGUCCAGCCAGGCAAUUUCAGGAUUUUCAGCCAUUCUCUGCUUGAUCCAGCUGAUGUUGUGUGGCUGUUCUGCAGGAGUAGGCAAACCUGGAGGUUGCUGUGAUCCCACACGUCAGGUGAGUCUAUCUACAGAAUUUUUCUCAGAUCAGUUUAUUAGCUACAGCUGACAUAAUUGAAUUCAGUUCGAUUCAGUUUUAUUUAUGUAAUCUGAAAUCAUGACAACAGUUGCCUCAAGGUGCUUUAUAUUGUACAAAAAGAUGCUACGAUAAUACAUAGAAACCUCAGUAAUCAGACAACCCUCUAUAAACAAGGACUUUGGUGACAGUGGGAAGAAAAAACUCCCUUUUAACAGGAAGAAACCUCUGGCAGAAGGAAGCUCUGCCUCCCAUUCUACUUUUAAAUACUCUGGGAACAACAAGUAGGCCUGCAGUGUGAGAGCGAAGUGCUCUAAUACGGUGAUAUGGUACUACAAGGUCAUUAAGAUAAGAUGGGGCCUGAUUAUUUAAGACCUUGUAUGUGAGGAGCAGGAUUUUGAAUUCAAUUCUGGAUUUAACAGGAAGCCAAUGAAGGGAAGCCAAAACAGGAGAAAUCUGCUCUCUCUUUCUAGUCCCUGUCAGGACUCUUGCUGCAGCAUUUUGGAUGAACUGAAGGCUUUUCAGGGAGUUUUUAGGACUUCCUGAUAAUAAUGAAUUACAGUAGUCCAGCCUGGAAGUAAUAAAUGCAUGAACUAGUUUUUCAGCAUCACUCUGAGACAGGAUGUUUCUAAUUUUAGAGAUGUUGCACAAAUGGAAGAAAGCAGUCUUACAUAUUUGUUUAAUAUGUGCGAUGAAGGACAUGUCCUGGUCAAAAAUGACUCCAAGGUUCCUCACAGCAUUACUGGAGGCCAAGGUAAUGCCAUCCAGAGUAAAAAUCUGCUUAGAUACCAUAUUUCUAAGAUUUUCAGGGCCAAGUACAAUAACCUCAGUUUGAUCUGAGUUUAGAUUUCUGCAGUUUAACUAAUUGGUGUGCAUUAUUUGGCUUCAUGGAUAGAUGGAAAUUGGGUGUCGUCUGCAUAGCAAUAAAAAUAUGGUGGGGGUGGCUUGGGCGUGGCUGCAGGAGAGGCUGAGACACGCUGGAGCUCCAUCAGCUCAUCACGCCUGCCAUGUACAAAAUAUGCCGGGAACUGAGGUUGGGAUUGUUGUUGUGAGUGUGCUGAAGUCCGGUCACAGCUGAGACAGAGAACUGUAAGAACAACAACCGAAUAAAGAAGUGUAUGAAACGUACGAACUAUGUGGUUGGUCUGUCAUUCAUGUCACAUACACUAUGCCUUCUAAUGACAAGGGAAGCAUGUAUAAUGUAAACAGAAUUGGUCCUAGCACUGAACCCUGUGGAACACCAUAAUUAACCUCAGUGUGUGAAGAGGACUCUCCAUUUACAUGCACAAAUUGGAGUCUAUUAGAUAGAUAUGAUACAAACCACUGCAGUGCAGUACCUGUAAUACCUACAGCAUGUUCUAAUCGCUCUAAUAGGAUAUUAUGGUCGACAGUAUGGAACGCUGCACUGAGGUCUAGCAGGACAAGCACACUUACUUCUUUCUAAUGUCUAAUAGAUAUAUUUGUCUCUUUGGUAUUCACCAACCAGCACUAUGGAAAUGCUUCAGUGACUGUACAGACUCCCCAAACUUGGACCAACCCACAGUGAGAGCGCUGCCUGUCAGUCAGGCUCCACCUAGUUAUCUGGACCUACCACCAGGGAUAGUUCCCGUCUGUCCUCACGAGGUUUGUUCUACAGCUGUAAGCUCAGAACCAGAUGUGAUUCUUCAAACGUAGGAAAGAAUCUGAUUAUUGUAUCAAUAGACCAAUACGCUGUAUUUUAUUAUUAUCAACACGCCCAUCACAGACAGUUCCUCUCUGUAUUAAAUCUGCGUGCUCGACUCAUAUGAUUAUCAUUAACCAAACAACACAGACCACGCUGCUUUUUGUUUUCCAGAGAGAGAUUAUCAACAUGCAUGUGUCCAAAAUUAACCAAAAUACCUAAAUACAGAAAGUAAAAUCAAAUGCAAUCUGCUGCAAGAAAAAGUAUUUUAUAUAAUAUUAUUAUAUUAUAUUGUUGUUUGCAGAAACCUCCAGGCUACGGCAGCAUUGUGAGCUGAGGCCACACCCCCUCAAACAGAUGCCACUGCCGUCCAAUCACAUUCAGCAUUCUGACUUUUAUUUGUGCUUCAAAGUUUCUCUUAAACAGACUGAUCAUUUUGCCUGUUACUGAUUAUCAUCGAUUAUGUUAUUAAUUGCUUCUGAUUGAUCUUGUUGUAACGGUUAAAUAAAGCAGUGUCAUCUUUAUUAAUAAUUAGAGAGCUUCGAAUAAUGACAACACAGUAGAAAUGAUACAGGUGUAAUACCUGGAGAUGACCACCCGAUGGCGCUGUGUGGUCAGUAACAUCAUCACAGGUGAGACAGAGUUUUCUAAACCUCACUUCUUGAGAUGUGUCUGAGGCCGAAAGCAGCUCCUCACACUGUCUCUGUGUGCAAUAAAAAGGACAUUUUGGACAUGUUUUCCUGAUGUGGCAUCUUUAAUGGGCCAUAAAAGGCCGAAUGAGCCGAUUCUCCAAAGGCAGGUUUUCAAUAUUUGCUGUCAGAGAUGAUUAAGUGACCUAAAAACUUACCUCAUAACUUGUAAAUCAUAAUAAAGGACUUUGUUGUAUCAUGGUUAUAUUACAUCUUUGGAAAGAUCAGACAGCAGGUUCAAUCCUCUGAGAGAAAACUAAAGGAUUACUCAUCGAAACAUCAUGGGGCGACCGUGGUUUAGGGGGUUGGGAAGCGCAUCUGCAACCGGAAGGUCGCCGGUUUGAUCCCCGGCCUUUCUGUCCUGGUCGUUGUGUCCUUGGGCAAGACACUUUACCCUACCGCCUACUGGUGUUGGCCAGAGGGGCCGAUGGCGCGACAUGGCAGCCUCGCCUCUGUCAGUCUGCCCCAGGGCAGCUGUGGCUACAACAGUAGCUUGCCUCCACCAGUGUGUGAAUGUGAGAGUGAAUGAAUAGUGGCAUUGUAAAGCGCUUUGGGUGCCUUGAAAAGCGCUAUAUAAAUCCAAUCCAUUAUUAUUAUUAUUAUCAUCAGGAUAUGUGGACUUCCUGUUAUACAGGAACGACAUCAUGAACCUGCUGUUAGUGUAAAGUUACAUGAGAUAAAGUUUGUGUUAAACUCAGGAUAAAACAAGCCACACAGGACGUUUUCACGACAAAGCAGAAAGUUUCAGGUGAACUCAGAGAUGAUGAGGGUACCUGUAAAGAGCAUCCUGAAUAGUCUCAAACAGCAUGUUCAAGAUUCGUGUUUGAACCACACAGCAGAUACACACUGUGGUACAUACAGGUGUGCCAUAGCUGGAUUCAGACAGCUUACCUGUGGAUGAGGAGUCCUGCUUAGGGUCCUGGAUUUGUCUGAAUUAUUUCCAAAAUAAACUUCCCUUACAGGAAGGUGAGAGGGGAUCAUCUUGUUCAGAAAGGUAGAGAUCAUAGAAUAAAUAAAAAAGCAAAAUAUUCAAUAAAGAUUUCAUGAUCAGAACGUGAGUACACGCAAGCCAAAGAAUCCAA